UACGGGGGGGGCAAGCGUUGUUCGGAAUUACUGGGCGUAAAGGGCUCGUAGGUGGCCAACUAAGUCAUACGUGAAAUCCCUCGGCUUAACCGGGGAACUGCGUCUGAUACUGGAUGGCUUGAGAUUGGGAGAGGGAUGCAGAAUUCCAGGUGUAGCGGUGAAAUGCGUAGAUAUCUGGAGGAAUACCGGUGGCGAAGGCGGCAUCCUGGACCGGCAUUGACGCUGAUGAGCGAAAGCUAAGGGGAGCAAACGGG
rnacentral:rRNA from 1 species